AUGCAGUUCAAUGCAAAGUGUCUUCACAAUAGGAGUAAAAGAGCUUACUGUCUAGUGUCAGUGUCAGUUUUAGUGCAGGAGGUUUUUGUACAGCCGUUGAUUGAGUUUGUAUCACUGUGGUGGACUUUCGGUGGAGGCACUCGACUCUCUGUUGGAACUGCGGCUCGUCCCGCUCUCACAGUGCUGCUGCCCUCCAGAGACGAGCUGCAGCAGGGGAAGGCUACAGUGCUGUGUGUGGCCAGUAAGGGAUACCCCUCUGACUGGAAGCUGAGCUGGAAGGUGGACUGCAGCAGCAGGAGCUCUGGUGUGGAUCUGAGUCCCAGUCAGCUGCAGAAGGAUGGACUGUACAGCUGGAGCAGCAGCCUGAGCCUCACUGAGAGUGAGUGGAGCAGAGCAGCAACCGUCAGCUGUGAAGCCACGCACCCGUCCCACACUGCAGUCACCAAGAGCCUCAACACAAAGCAGUGUGAUGACCAGUGAAAUACACCAACAGACACACUGUCCUAAUUAAGCCGCUGCUCAACAAUUAAUCUUUCAUGCUAUUAGUAUAUUUUUCAUAUAGGUCUUAUUGUUGUAAUUCUACAACUGCCAUGCUUUGAAUUUUUUAUGUUAUUCUUGCUGCCAAAUAAAAGCAUUUUUUCUCAAA